rnacentral:rRNA from 1 species
AACGAACGCUGGCGGCAUGCCUAACACAUGCAAGUCGAACGAGACCUUCGGGUCUAGUGGCGCACGGGUGCGUAACGCGUGGGAACCUGCCCUUAGGUUCGGAAUAACUCCCCGAAAGGGGUGCUAAUACCGGAUAAUGUCUUCGGACCAAAGAUUUAUCGCCUUUGGAUGGGCCCGCGUUGGAUUAGCUAGUUGGUAGGGUAAAAGCCUACCAAGGCGACGAUCCAUAGCUGGUCUGAGAGGAUGAUCAGCCACACUGGGACUGAGACACGGCCCAGACUCCUACGGGAGGCAGCAGUGGGGAAUAUUGGACAACGGGCGAAGGCCUGAUCCAGCAAUGCCGCGUGAGUGAUGAAGGCCUUAGGGUUGUAAAGCUCUUUUACCCGGGAUGAUAAUGACAGUACCGGGAGAAUAAGCUCCGGCUAACUCCGUG